UUCAACAGAGCUCCGAGGACGGUUAUUUAACGCUGGCCCCUGAGGAUCCGCCACACAGACCUUCUUCGUUCCGGAACGUCCAAGGGCACUGGAUCCUCUGUGUCCCUCUGAGAUGGGGUGCCACGCCAGCAAGACCACCACGGUGGCAGCUGAGUCCCAGAAGCCUGGAGAAGAGUGUGAGGGAGGAGAGCCAGGUCUGGAAACCAGCACCCAGGCAGCAGACUGCAAGGAUGCCCCACUAAAGGAUGAAAGCCCUGAGCCAAAGAACUGAGAUGCGUCUCUCUCCAGAGUUGAACCCUCACCUCCUUCCUGGAACUGCCUUUGGCCUGUGAACCUGAGAAAAUCACCACCCUGAGAAGCUCUGAUCACUGGGAGGAGAGAGAAAGCCUCCAGCUUUGGGAUUCAGGCUUCAGACGUUUUAGCAGCCUUUACUCAUCAUUAAAGGGGUGGGGAGGAUGAGUCUAUGAGGAAUCCUAUUUCCCCAGCUCUCCCACACAUUGUGGAACUUUCCUGCAACUACUGGAUGCAGACAAGCCUCAGAGCAGAUUGUUCUGGCUCCAGUGAAUACCUGCUGCCAGGCUGUGAGAGUGAUCCUUGCCUGCCUGGCUUCCCUGAAGUCAGGAGCUACCUUGGUUGUAAUGUGUGGGGUGUGUGGAUGCCAGUUUGCUGUUUCUUUCUCCUUUCUGCAACAGCUGGCGGAGCAGCCAUCACCCCUGACGGCAACGUGUUGCACUUGGCUCACUCCACACCGUUUCUAUGAAUAAUUUAAUAUCUAACUUGAAAUGUUGUUAAGGAACUAUGGAAAAUAUCAGGAUCUGACUGGGAUCCCGUAAAUGGAAGAGUUAGCCCUGGAAACUCUUAACCACUGGGGAGAGCCUGCUUGAGAAUGAAGCCACAGAGCGGAGUGGAGCGGCGUGGAGAGAAGGAGAGACAUUGUCUUGAUGAACUUGUCUGGGCAACUGGAUCCAGCCAUGCCAGAAGCUGAUUCUUCCCCUAGAUGAUUCACAUGAGCCAAUAAACUCAUUCUUUUUGUUUGUUUGUUUGUU